GGGGAAUAUUGCACAAUGGGCGCAAGCCUGAUGCAGCCAUGCCGCGUGUAUGAAGAAGGCCUUCGGGUUGUAAAGUACUUUCAGCGGGGAGGAAGGCGAUGGGGUUAAUAACCUUAUCGAUUGACGUUACCCGCAGAAGAAGCACCGGCUAACUCCGUGCCAGCAGCCGCGGUAAUACGGAGGGUGCAAGCGUUAAUCGGAAUUACUGGGCGUAAAGCGCACGCAGGCGGUCUGUUAAGUCAGAUGUGAAAUCCCCGGGCUUAACCUGGGAACUGCAUUUGAAACUGGCAGGCUUGAGUCUUGUAGAGGGGGGUAGAAUUCCAGGUGUAGCGGUGAAAUGCGUAGAGAUCUGGAGGAAUACCGGUGGCGAAGGCGGCCCCCUGGACAAAGACUGACGCUCAGGUGCGAAAGCGUGGGGAGCAAAC
rnacentral:rRNA from 1 species